GACGUAGGGCGCGAGCGUUGUCCAGAUUUAUUGGGCGUAAAGAGCUCGUAGGCGGCUUGUUGCGUCGACCGUGAAAACCUGUGGCUUAACUACAGGCUUGCGGUUGAUACGGGCAGGCUAGAGUUCGGUAGGGGAGACUGGAAUUCCUGGUGUAGCGGUGAAAUGCGCAGAUAUCAGGAGGAACACCAGUGGCGAAAGCGGCUCUCUGGGGACCACCUGACGCUGAGGCGCGAAAGCGUGGGGAGCGAACCGG
rnacentral:rRNA from 1 species